rnacentral:rRNA from 1 species
UACGUAGGAUGCAAGCGUUGUCCGGAUUUACUGGGCGUAAAGCGCGCGCAGGCGGCACAUUAAGUAAGGUGUGAAAUAUCCCGGCUCAACCGGGAGGGUGCACUUUAGACUGAUGAGCUUGAGGUCGGUAGAGGGGGGUGGAAUUGCUGGUGUAGCGGUGAAAUGCGUAGAUAUCUGGAGGAACACCGGUGGCGAAGGCGGCAUCCUGGACCGGUAUUGACGCUGAGGCGCGAAAGCUAGGGGAGCAAACGGG